rnacentral:tmRNA from 1 species
AGCCUUGCGCUGCCGCCCCAUCCGACUUAUCUUGAUUGUGACGCUUCGGCGUAUAUGGCGAUAAACGGCAUCUGGAAUAAACUCUGCGGACCCCGGGGCAGCACCGGGCGGGUCCACCUGAGCGCUUUAGGACGAGCGUUUUGGCGGGCCCGAAACAGGAUCGACGCGGGUGUAAAGAGAUGGCUUUUGCCCGGCAUUGUACCACCGUUAUCGGGCUAAACUUAUAGUUGCCAAUGACAACUAUGCUCCGGUGGCCCUCGCUGCGUAACGCAGUGCUGGUACUGGGAAUCAAGUCCUAGGGGGUUGCACUUCUAGGCGGGGUUCGGAGGCACCUGGCAACAGAAGCCUCCACU